UACGAAGGUCCCGAGCGUUGUUCGGAAUCACUGGGCGUAAAGGGAGCGUAGGCGGCGCGGUAAGUCAGAUGUGAAAUCCCGGGGCUCAACCCCGGAACUGCAUCCGAUACUGCCGUGCUAGAGGAUUGGAGAGGUAGCUGGAAUUCUUGGUGUAGCAGUGAAAUGCGUGGAGAUCAAGAGGAACACUCGUGGCGAAAGCGGAUCUCUGGGCCUUACCUGACGCUGAGGCGCGAAAGCUAGGGGAGCGAACAGG
rnacentral:rRNA from 1 species